GGAGGUUAGUGCAAUGGCAUAAGCCAGCUUGACUGCGAG
rnacentral:rRNA from 1 species